rnacentral:rRNA from 1 species
UAAUCUUAGUGGCGGACGGGUGAGUAACGCGUGGGUAACCUGCCUUACACUGGGGGAUAACACUUAGAAAUAGGUGCUAAUACCGCAUAAGCGCACGAAGCCGCAUGGAUUUGUGUGAAAAACUCCGGUGGUGUAAGAUGGACCCGCGUCUGAUUAGCUUGUUGGCGGGGUAACGGCCCACCAAGGCGACGAUCAGUAGCCGGCCUGAGAGGGUGGACGGCCACAUUGGGACUGAGACACGGCCCAAACUCCUACGGGAGGCAGCAG